rnacentral:tRNA from 1 species
GCCCCCUUAGCUCAUCCGGUAGAGCAUUUCACUUGUAAUGAAAAGGCGGCGGGAUCGUGACCCGCAGGGGGCUC